CAUGGGAAUCUCAUCAGUUGUGAUGAUAAAAGUGUUGAAGUAGUUUCUUUCCCUGAGGAAGCUCAAAGAGCCAGCAAGGCCAGCCCCUCCAGCAGAAGUGGUUGAAGUUCUACUGAUGGCUUAAUGGAAUAGCUUAUGUUCUGUAACAUUAUCCUUCUGGUUUGCUUGGCUUGUGAAAAAUAAGUUUCCUUUUACAUACAGGCAGUCUCACACACCUUACUCCUCCUUUUCCCCUCCCUCCUCUCUCCAGCACCAUCCCUCUGGUCUUCUGCAGUCAGGAAAGUGAUAGAGAGUUUUAUUGCAGGUUACAGCAGUGCAGUGCUCUGCAAUGGGUUUAUUCACCUAAACUGUCACAGUGAAUUUUGGACUGCAGGGCAGACUUGCUGGCAGUCUCACUCCAGUCUCCUACUGGCGCUUGCAACACACAUGCAGUCAGGAUCUGGGAAAUACAGCCCCUCUUCUCUCCACCACAUCCUGCAGCCUGCCCCAGACAGAGGCCACAGUGGGCCUUUACAAGCAUUGCAACCGUAGGAGAGGAUAAAGCCAUGAAGAGGAAGAAAUGUCUGAGGAACAGCUGAAUUAGGACAUUUUAGUUGGCUUCAAGGCCUUUGAUUUGAUUAGAUUAGCCACACCUUUGCAGGAAAAUCAACUGUUAAUCAUUUACUGCAGCCCAAAGAGGCAACUUCCAGGCUACCUCUACAAUUCUCCAGGUACAGCAGGGGGUCCCUCACCAUAGGCCAAGAUCUCUUGGAGGGGUGAAGAGAAGGAGGAAACACAGAGGAAACACAGAGGAAACACCUACUACAAACUACAACAGCUUCAGCAGGGUGGAAGCCAGCAUGUCACUAGAGCAAGAGGCAUCCUCAGUUCUUGAAGACCUGAAGACACUGAUUGCAACAAGUGACUGGGCUCUUGGAGGGCUGCUGGUGAUUGUCAUCUUCUGUUUUGUUUUUCUUGUUCUCGUUUUAUUUGCUGCUAUUUUUGGGUGCUGCACAUCUCUAAGGCGCAAACAGGGUAAUUUAUAGACAGCAAAGUGGGGACACAGAACUUGGUACAACUGAGCAAGAACCAGCCUGGUUCUGAUUGUGUUGUUCACAGAGAACUCUCAUCUCACUCCCCACGUGGUUAUUUCUCUCCAUGCAACUCCCCUGCAUCAAGAGCCAUGUCCCAAUGCCAGCAAGUUGUUCUGGCACAGAACAGUUGGCUGUCCACAGCAGACUCAAUAGAUGAGGCUGUCUGGAUUCAAGAACUGCAACAUUUGCCAAAUACCAAAGUAAACUCUUCUCUGAUUUUCAUCUUUCAAGCAAAACCACCAACUCGAAGUGGCAAAUUGUCAGCCACCACCUAAAGCUGAUAAAGAUGAGUUCUGCUGCUGCAGCUACGUGGGUUGGGGGUUUUUUCACCUUACAGAAGAGCAAGAGGAAACUCUGGCCACUGAAAGCUUUGUCUGAACCCACUCUCUAAAAGCAGUUUAGACCAUUGCUCUCCUGUCAUACUCAGGCCUAAAUACACUAUGCAAAAACUUGCUUGCCAGUA